UGAUGGUUAUGCCAAUGGACCUUGGCAUGAUAAGUUUUCCCUCAAAGACAAUCUUCACCUAGUUUUGAAACUUACAAUUUUGAAUAGUUCUAUCAAGCAUAUUAAUUUAAAGGUUACAUGCAUAGAAUAAACUUUGUCUGUAUUGUUGUCAUGCAGCUGUUGUUCAGAACAUGAAAAGUCUUCUAAGGGAUCAUGAGUCCCUUUAUUCUCAUCUUUGUUCUGGCAGCAUUGUACUGAAGCGGUUCAAAUCAAAUACAAAAUAUUCCGCUCUGAUUAAAUUUAUUCCACUAUAAACAAAGUUAAAACAACAUAGAACAGAAAGUAGGGAACCCCAAAUUUAUUAUGAAGCAAGACCAAAACCAGGAAAAUCCAAUCACAAUCAUUCCCAAUAAGACGACACCAAUGCACAAACACAACCACAUUGAAACUUUCACAUUCUGGAAAACUAAUAAUAGGAGAGGCAAAAUGGCACUAGGAAAGCUAAGGAAGCAAAUGAAGCCGAGAUGGCCAAAGGAGGGAAUGAUCCAGCUGCAGCAGAGCCUCCAUGUCCAGGGCUGGUAUGUGGAGCUGGACUCGGCGCAUGUGAGUGACCAUCAUGCCCUUCAGUAACACCCGCAAAUAUCAAUACUGCAAGGAUCAAACAGAUAGAGGAAAAGGGAAUCAAUGAUCUUCCUCUUGCCAUUUCUGAGAGUUGGAGACAAUCCAAUGAGAUGACUUUCUCAAACAGGUAGCUUUAUAGAACUGGCAUUGAGGAGAAGUCAUGACCUGGCCAGUUAAGGCCACUGCCCGCUACCCAGAUCUUUCUUAAUUUACCAUUUUAUAUACUACAUGAGGCAUGUAAUAGUGUUGAUCUAGUCAACUGAUCAGGUUGCUUAUUACACAAAGCAGAUAGGUUCACACAGGCUGUUCAUUUUAGGAAGUUAGCCUGAAAAUUCAACCUCAGGACUCAUACAUGAAGCCCACAACCCACCAACAAGAGAUCGUACAUGCUUGUACCGCUCAGGUGCAGACUUGCAGUACAAGAAAUUUUCAUGUUAGGUGAAGUUAAUGUCAGUUUUGACCUUUUGGCAAUAUAAAUUAAUCAAUUGCUAAUCUGUAUUAUUGACUUUGUAUAAUGGGGUUGUUUCUUGUGUAGAUAAUUCAAAAAUAAAAUUCUAAACCAUUACCUGUUGUUGCCAAGGUUUCAUCAUCCAGUGUAGGCCACAUAUAGAUCACAUAACCUAGAAAUGAUCAAUCAAUGGGGGACAAAUGAAUGGUCUAGUGAAAUUUUUAUCUGGAAAUAAACAGUUGGAAAACCCUUACUAGAUUCUCCCUCCUCCAUCUCAGCAGCAACACAGGUAAUAAGAGCUAGCUUCACAAGGACAAGGAAAGGGCAGAGUAUACACCAGUUGUAAGUGGAACAAGCAGAGGGGAUAAGCAGAGGGGAUAAGGGCAGAGUAUAUACCUGUCACUAUUUCGAAUGAGAGAGCAUUUGCUUCUGAUUGAUAGGAACAUUGAU
rnacentral:lncRNA from 1 species